GCUGAAUGAAGAAAAACAAAAUAUUUUCACCUUUUUUUAUUACCAUCAUACAACAAUAAGUUUUUUGUCAUAGGAUGGAGAAAACAGCCAUUUGGAGUUUUCUUUUUGUAGUCUUUAUUCACAGAGUCUGGAGUGAGAUCAAACUGGAUCAGUCAGCCUCUGUGGUGAAGAGACCUGGAGAGACAGUAAAGAUGUCUUGUGUCAUCUCUGGUUACAGCAUGACAGAAAAUGAUAUCAGCUGGAUUAGACAGAGAGCAGGGAGAGCUCUGGAGUGGAUUGGGUAUAUGAGCACCGGUAACAACAAUCCCAGAUAUGCCAGCUCCUUUCAAAAUCGAUUCACUAUGACUGAAAAUGUCCCCAGCAGCACCCAGUUCCUCGAGAUCAGCAGCCUGACAGCAGAAGAUUCUGCUGUUUACUUCUGUGCUCGAGAAACACAGUGA